rfam:Mycobacterium phage Myrna, complete genome.
GCAGGUGUGAAGCGGCUUCCCGAAGGAUUCCAACCCCUGAGGCGUGGGUUCAACUCCUACCACCUGUG